AGCUAUUAGAGUUUGAUCAUGGCUCAGAACGAACGUUAGCGGCGCGCCUAACACAUGCAAGUCGCACGAGAAAGGGCUUCGGCCCCGGUACAGUGGCGCACGGGUGAGUAACACGUGGGUAAUCUGCCUUCGAGCGGGGGAUAACAUUCCGAAAGGAGUGCUAAUACCGCAUAAGACCACGCCUCCGAAAGGAGAAGCGGUCAAAGCUGGCCUCUAUACAUAAGCUAGCACUCGAAAAUGAGCCCGCGGGGCAUCAGCUAGUUGGUGAGGUAAUGGCUCACCAAGGCUUAGACGCCUAGCUGGUCUGAGAGGAUGAUCAGCCACACUGGAACUGAGACACGGUCCAGACUCCUACGGGAGGCAGCAGUGGGGAAUCUUGCGCAAUGGGCGAAAGCCUGACGCAGCGACGCCGCGUGAGUGAUGAAGGCCUUCGGGUUGUAAAGCUCUGUGGGGAGAGAAGAAUAAGUGCAGGCUAAUACCCUGCAUGAUGACGGUAUCUCCUUAGCAAGCACCGGCUAACUCUGUGCCAGCAGCCGCGGUAAUG
rnacentral:rRNA from 1 species